UCACCUACUGUAAAUGCAGCUAUCUCAAAUGAAGAGGUCUAUAUUACUAACAACAAUGAGAACCAAAAGUUUUCUUUAACUCAUGAGGAAUUUACCAAGCUUUUAGCACUUGCUAAUUCAAAUCCUUCACUGCCUCAAACAAACCUCACACCAGCUGUGAAUCUUGCCACUUCUCAUUUCUCUGGACCAAUCAGCAAAGAGGAUGAUUGGGAUUGCUCAUGAAAAACAUGGACUUUACCACUUCAAACAAGUUACUACCUGCACCAAGAAUAAGUUUCAUUCUCUACCAUUUGCUUCAGCUAUUACCCAACAACAUUUAGAUAUCUGGCAUAACAGAUUAGGACAUGUUUCUAUUUCUAGAUUACCUUUUCUUAGACAAUUAGAACCUUCUAUAUCUCUUGAUUCGAAUAAUGUUUGUGAUACAUGUCAUUUUGCAAAGCAAAGAAAGCUCUCUUUCCCUGUUUCUCAGACACAUUCAAAUAAAAUUUUUGAUUUGAUACAUUGUGACAUCUGGGGUCC